rnacentral:rRNA from 1 species
UAGGGAAUCUUCGGCAAUGGGGGCAACCCUGACCGAGCAACGCCGCGUGAGUGAAGAAGGUUUUCGGAUCGUAAAGCUCUGUUGUAAGUCAAGAACGAGUGUGAGAGUGGAAAGUUCACACUGUGACGGUAGCUUACCAGAAAGGGACGGCUAACUACGUGCCAGCAGCCGCGGUAAUACGUAGGUCCCGAGCGUUGUCCGGAUUUAUUGGGCGUAAAGCGAGCGCAGGCGGUUUGAUAAGUCUGAAGUUAAAGGCUGUGGCUCAACCAUAGUUCGCUUUGGAAACUGUCAAACUUGAGUGCAGAAGGGGAGAGUGGAAUUCCAUGUGUAGCGGUGAAAUGCGUAGAUAUAUGGAGGAACACCGGUGGCGAAAGCGGCUCUCUGGUCUGUAACUGACGCUGAGGCUCGAAAGCGUGGGGAGCGAACAGGAUUAGAUACCCUGGUAGUCCACGCCGUAAACGAUGAGUGCUAGGUGUUGGAUCCUUUCCGGGAUUCAGUGCCGCAGCUAACGCAUUAAGCACUCCGCCUGUGGAGUACGACCGCAAGGUUG